AAUCUCAACCAUUAGGGUUUCUUAAUGGAUUGGAUUUGGAGGUUGCCAGUCUGACUGGCUCCUCUUAAAGGAGUUAGCAAGUUUGACUAUUGCUAUCGAGCGUAAUAAGUUUCGCUCAGUAGUAUUGUGAAGCGUGCUUCUAAUCGUCCUUGGACAAUUAUUUUGA
rnacentral:misc_RNA from 1 species